rfam:Camelus ferus unplaced genomic scaffold scaffold56579, whole genome shotgun sequence.
GAGAGUGUAGCUCAAGUGGUAGAGCGCAUGUUUAGCAUACACGAAGUCUGGGGUUCAAUCCCCAGCACCUCCU